rnacentral:rRNA from 1 species
ACGGAAGGCGCAGUGGGGAAUAUUGCACAAUGGGGGAAACCCUGAUGCAGCAACGCCGCGUGAGCGAUGAAGGUCUUCGGAUUGUAAAGCUCUGUCCUAAGGGAAGAAGAAAGUGACGGUACCUUAGGAGGAAGCCCCGGCUAACUACGUGCCGGCAGCCGCGGUAAUACGUAGGGGGCGAGCGUUAUCCGGAAUUAUUGGGCGUAAAGAGUACGUAGGUGGCUGCGUAAGAGAGAGGUGAAAGCCCGGGGCUUAACUCCGGCGAGCCUUUCUUACUGCGUGGCUUGAGUGCAGGAGGGGAAAGUGGAACUCCAUGUGUAGCGGUGAAAUGCGUAGAUAUAUGGAAGAACACCGGUGGCGAAGGCGACUUUCUGGACUGUAACUGACACUGAGGUACGAAAGCGUGGGGAGCAAACAGGAUUAGAUACCCUGGUA